UACGGAGGGAGCAAACGUUGUUCGGAUUCACUGGGCGUAAAGCGCGUGUAGGCGGUCUGUCAAGUCAGGGGUGAAAUACCAGGGCUCAACCCUGGAAUUGCCUUUGAAACUACCGGACUUGAGGCCGUGAGAGGAGACUGGAAUUCCCAGUGUAGCGGUGAAAGGCAUAGAUAUGGGGAAGAACACCAGUGGCGAAGGCGAGUCUCUGGAACGGUUCUGACGCUGAGGCGCGAAAGCUAGGGGAGCAAACGGG
rnacentral:rRNA from 1 species